CCCCCCAAAUCCCAAUCCACCCGUGCCCUACACCAUUGCGCCGCCGCCCCCAACAAUCUAACCUUCCACCGGCGGCCGCCCUCUAGCCAUCGCCAUCGCCAUCCCCAAAUCACUCAAUCUACUGGUUCCCGACACCAGAUCGCCGCUGCCCCCAACCGUUUGAUCCCUCCGCCGUCACCCCCACUCCCCCAGCACCGCAGCCCCUCCGCCGCCCCAAUCGGCCCCAGUGCCGCCGUCGCCCCCCACCACCGCAGCCCGUCCGCCGCCCCAACCAAUGCACUGCUGCGUCCUCCACCCAGACCACUGACGCCGUCGUCGCCCACCAUCGCAGCUCCUCUGCCGCCCCUAGCAUCCACUGUCGCUUCCUCCACCCAGACCACUGCCGCCGUCGCCCCCCAACCACUCCAGAGCGGCGCCGCCGAGCACCAAUUGACACGGAGCAUCCCAUCGCCGAGCCAAUCCACCGACGACCUUCCUCCUCCGCUGUACACCGUCGUUCCUCAGUUACCACCCUCCUCGCGAGCUUCCUCCCCCAAGCUAGCCCUCCGCACAUGCUCACCCGAGCCCCAAGGAGCUCCUCCGGCAAGCUGCACCUUCUCCACAGUUUAUGCCUUCACUAGAUUGUGACUUCUUGAAGCAAACACAGGAAGUUUCUGUUGCUAAUUUUUGCUUGUAUUGAUCUGUUGGGAGCCUUUAUGUACUUUAUACAGAUGCAGUUUAUCUUGCUACAAUUUUUUCUUGUAUUCAUCUGUUGGGAGUCUUUAUGUACUUUAUACUGAUUCACAUGUAAUAAGCAGCUUGUAGUAUUAGUGAAGGAACAACACCAGGAGACAACCCACUGACCAAGGAGCGCCCUUAUAUCAUCAGUAUCCACCGAAACAAUAGUGACCAUCGUAGUAGAUUAUAUAUGGCCGUGUCAACUGCAGUCUGGUCGUAGAUUUGAAGUUUGGUCAUCGUUCAUAUUGAUGUGAGUACACCAUGACCACCCCCUAGAGUGAACCAAAAUGAUGAGUCAUAACUGCUUCUUGUGCAAGCUUACUUUGUUCAUUUUCAAUGUAAUAUAUGGUAUUUAGAUUUUUUUCCCUAUUAAUAGAAGUAAACUUUCUUUUGUAUGUUACGCAAUGUAUUGCAUGGCCUUACAAGCAUGUAAGCUUAGGUCCUAUGAUUAAAUAUACAAUGACUAUCAUGGUUGAUUGCUUAAAACUCUUGCUUCUAUGUAUGCAGUUGGAAGUGAGUUAAUGGCAAAUGCGGCAAUGCGUUGCGACCACAAGCAAGCUGAGGAGGUAAUAUACAUGUUUCUUGGCUGAAUAUUUACAUUAGUGUGUACUAUCAAGGGCAGAUAGUAAUGGUUCGCUCAUUUGGUUGCUACAUGGUUAACUUGUGUCCAGAAAACUUGAGCUCCUGAUUCCAGUAUAUAGUAUUAAUUAGUAAUUCAAACAGAUCAUUAUAGUUCUUUAGAAGUGUGCUUUUGUGUCCAUCAGCCAUGAAUUUGGAGAGAGGUCAGUUGAAUAAAUAUGGUUACAAAUAUAAACUUUAAUUGGAUCAUCUUUCUUUCAUGUACACGAUAGACUCUACCAUGUAGAGAAAUGACUUUCAUUGGAUUCCAUGCUCACAACUUUCAUUUGAUUCAUUUCUCAUAACUGGAUCCUCUUUCUUUCAUGUACAUGAAGUAUUUUAGCUUGCUUGUUUGUUUGUUUGUUUGUUUGUCAAAAGCCUUGGUUUAUUUUUCUUGGCUAAUUCAACUUGUUGUCCAAGAUGUAGGAAAGUGAACCAAAUGUUCAUAGUGUUUCACUGGAUUUGUAAAUCUGUGGGCUUGUCCACUACUCAGAUACUCCCUCCGUCCCAAAAUAAGUCUCAUAACUUUUGUACAACUUUGUACUAAAGUUACAAAGUUGAUACACUUAUUUUGGGACGGAGCGAGUACCAUUUUAGGGGACCUUCAUUUGUAACUUGUCCAACAAAAGCAUGGAACCAGGAAACUAAACAACUCCCAUUAAAAGAUCCUGAAAUAUAUGUCCAGCUAGUUCCCCUCUUAUUCUGUGUAGCCAGCAAAUCAUUUAUGUAACUGAACUUUAAUAGCUCCUGCAAAGAGGGAGCAAAAAUUAAAAGGCUUGUUUAUGCAAUGGGACCAACAUUGAGUCAUCUUUACAAUAAGAGGCAAUGCUUCAGUGAAAAUCACAGUACUCCCAAUACACCCCUUCACCAGAUUCCGCAACAGGAGAAAUGUAGUUCAACUUCGUGUUCUGGAUGCAGGAAGUCUGUAAGCACAGUUGUCAUCAUUGCUCUAAGGAAAUACCACGCAAAACCACAAAAUGGUAUCGUCAUUUAUAGAUUUCCAGAUUCAUUAUCCUAUUAUGUUGUGCCAACUUCAUAUAGGAACUCAAAAUAAAUCAGCUUAUAUCCAAGGUCAGGCUCAAUAUCAAGGCCCACUAGAGACUGGACUAGCACACUGAAUCCACAGGUUCCGAUACUAAUGUGUAAUUGUAUUACUUUGAAGAAGCCAAGGUAUACGACAUACGAAAUUUUAAGAAGCACAACUAAACACCUGUUGCGUUCUGGUAGAGAAAAAGUACCAGGUGAAAAUAAGAUGCUAUAAUUUUGCAUAUGUGCUUGUUCAGUACACUAGCUUCAAAAUUUGCUUGUGUAAUGUUAAGUGUGUGAUCGUGGCCUUGUGCUUGUGUAAUAUUCGUACAGACUUUGCACACUAUAUUUGGAUGAGAAGUUAGAUAAGCUUGCUACUGUCAAGAUGAUAAAAAAUGGACAUGUUGAUGUCCAGGAUAUGUUGUCUACUAAAGUAGAGAUUACUCUAGAGAUCUCUACUAUUAAAGGAGAAUCGAACGUCGUGAUGGUUCGACCUCCUUCGCUCGCCCCCACCUCGUUCGAUCCCGUACGUGAAAACUUCUCCCCACACGCGAAAAAAACGGACCCCCUCGGCUCCUCCCCACCCGUCGCACGAAAAAAAUGACAACAAAAUAAAACAACGCACGUACGCACGUCCCACCCCCACUUCCCUUCCCCCAAAUCCCUUGCUCUCGAGAGAGGAAUUGCCGCCGCUGACCUCCUCAGUCCUCACGGCGACCUCGAGCGGUUGCACACUGCAACCAAAUUAGACUGGAGCAGUGGAUCCAAGCCCUUUCCAUCUCAUCCAUUCUUCACCGAGUCCAGGAGGAGCUCGAUGUAGGGAGGGAGACGAGCAGGAGCGCCGCGUCCAUGGCAACGAUGAACAGGGCAUAGGGGCCGACGAGUGGCAACGCGCGGCGGGAGACCGGCUGGUGGGAACGGAUGGCGGGAGGCGGUGGGACCGUGGGAGGAGCAGGUAGUCGGAGGAGAUCGCCGGUGGAAAUCUGGCAAGCGGCGGCGGCAAACAGGGCUUAUGGUUUGAUGUUUGUUUUUUACUAGGUUGUACUGGUCUUUAGAUUGUCAAAACACCGUUUCACCCCUCUUUUAGUCUGGCUUUAAUUCAUUGGUGUGGGUCCUUUGUGUCCUUUGCAGAAUCGUAAUGGCAAUUUGUGCUUUUCUUCGGCACGCUGCUCCACCACCUGUGGAUGUGGGUCGUCCAGGCCUCGCCUCACCUACAAUAUGCUACAUUGGUGUGGGUCCUUGUGAGCCUGCUGCCCCCACCCCCCAUCCCUCUAUAAUCCGAGAUGUCACCCCACCAUUCCUGUUCCGCCAAUGACAACAUCUCCCCUGACCGCUUGUCGUGCCUUGCCUCCAAAUCGGAUCACUGCAGUCUGAAGUAUUUUGAUGUAGCCAUAUCUCAACCACAUGAUGGCACACUAUAUAAGACCUCUAACCCGACGUGGAAGGACGAACUUCGACCAUGGAGCAGAGCACAGCGACGUGUCAAGGAUUGAUGGUCAAUGAUAAAGAGCAGGGGCCCUCAGAUGCUAGCCCUCCUCCUGCUGCUAUCCUCCCCAUCCCCUACGAGAUGUAUAUGGUGCUGACUUUGAGAGGCUGAAUAAUUAGGUUGAUAUUGAGGGAUUAAUAAAGGAUCAGCGGGCCAAGAUGUUUUGAGAUCAAACGGUGAAGUAAUAUUGUGUACUUGUGCUAAGUACUUUUGGUUUUGCCCGCUGAAGGAUUCAUAUGGUUACAAGUUGUACCUCUGACAGUGCUAAAUCAUAUAUAUUUCUUUCAGGUACAUUACUCAUGCAUUUUUCCUCUAAUGGUCUGACACAAUUUUAUCCUCGUUCAAAUUAACUAGGUGCUAGGGACAGUCCUCCAGAGCAAAAGCAUUCAUUUUCAAGGACAUCAUAAGAUGCUAAAAAGUCCAAUUCAAGUAAUUUCUUCAUAAAACAGCCAGGAUAUAUAUUUGAAGGGUAAGUGUUUUUGGAUUGCUUGAGGUAGGGCUACAAGUAACAACUAGAGAAGAAGGGGGCCAAAAAUCCAAAAAGGCAUUAGGCUUGCAGCCACUCCGCCGACAUGACAGUCUUAGUACGCGGCACCGCGUAAACACCCAUUGUGGCGGCGACCACUGACACUGACAACAACGUGGCUUUUCAGCGAGCGGCGGCCCUGACGGUGGCAGCACCCAUCACAUAAGGCAACGCUCCGCACCAGAUCUCUGUUGUGCACACCCAUCCGACCACACCCGACGGUGUUCCCUGAGCCAUGGUGUGUGCCUUCUCCUCCCCUAGAUCAUCUCACCAAUUACUUGCACACCAUCGCCGCAUGAUCCACUAGAGGAAUGUAUAGCAUAGAUUAUCUAUAAAAGAUACUGCUUACUUCUGAUGCUCCAUCAUCGUGUCAGGCUUCAUUUGAUCCUAAAGGACUCCUUUGGUUUCCCAAAGGUGCACAAGUUCACUAAGGUUUGGAAGAUCUUCAAGUUGCUGAAGAUUUGGAAGACCUAAAAUUAAGUUGGUGGAGUGAUAAUGACCUGUGUCUUGUUUGUUGAACGUAAAGACUUGCUCUGCUCAUUUUGGUGGUUGUUGAAUUAGCUUAUUUAGGUUGUGUGGCACACAUCUAGAAACAUAUGUACAUCCCUAGUGGCACUACUUUAUUUUGGGUGUGUGGCAAAUGUAUAUAUGUAAUCCUUUUGUGGUACUACCUCUUUAUAUAUGGUCGUUAAGUUUAAGGUUUUCGAUGAGGCCUA